UACGAAGGGGGCUAGCGUUGUUCGGAAUUACUGGGCGUAAAGGGCGCGUAGGCGGCUCUUCAAGUUAGGCGUGAAAGCCCCGGGCUCAACCUGGGAAUUGCGCUUGAUACUGUAGGGCUUGAGUACGGGAGAGAGAGUGGAAUUCCCAGUGUAGAGGUGAAAUUCGUAGAUAUUGGGAAGAACACCAGUGGCGAAGGCGGCUCUCUGGACCGAAACUGACGCUGAGGCGCGAAAGCGUGGGGAGCAAACAGG
rnacentral:rRNA from 1 species